UACGAAGGGGGCUAGCGUUGCUCGGAAUCACUGGGCGUAAAGCGCACGUAGGCGGCUUACUAAGUCAGGGGUGAAAUCCUGGAGCUCAACUCCAGAACUGCCUUUGAUACUGGUGAGCUUGAGUCCGGAAGAGGUGAGUGGAACUGCGAGUGUAGAGGUGAAAUGCGUAGAUAUCGGGAGGAACACCAGUGGCGAAGGCGACUUCUGGCCUGUUCUUGACGCUGAGGCGCGAAAGCUGGGGGAGCAAACGGGG
rnacentral:rRNA from 1 species